CCUACGGGAGGCAGCAGUGGGGAAUCUUGCACAAUGGAGGAAACUCUGAUGCAGCGACGCCGCGUGAACGAUGAAGCCCUUCGGGGUGUAAAGUUCUUUCGCCAGGAACGAUAAUGACGGUACCUGGAGAAGAAGCUGCGGCUAACUACGUGCCAGCAGCCGCGGUAAUACGUAGGCAGCAAGCGUUGUUCGGAAUUAUUGGGCGUAAAGAGUAUGUAGGUGGUGUCGUAAGUUUGGUGUGAAAUCUCCUGGCUUAACUGGGAGGGUGCGCCGAAGACUGCGAUGCUUGAGUAUGGGAGAGGGAAUCGGAAUUCCUGGUGUAGCGGUGAAAUGCGUAGAUAUCAGGAGGAACACCUGUGGUGUAGACGGGUUCCUGGACCAUUACUGACACUGAGAUACGAAAGCGUGGGUAGCAAACAGGAUUAGAUACCCUGGUAGUCCACGACCUAACGAUNCACACUGUGUGAGCAUCNGUGUUGUGCGNGCUACGCGUAGUGUGCGCGUGGNGGUACGGUCGCGAGGCGNGUAACGUACGAAGUUAAGUUAGUACGGCGUUGAGACGNGCCGACGGCGACGACGAGGGAGGAGG
rnacentral:rRNA from 1 species